GACGAACGCUGGCGGCGUGCCUAAUACAUGCAAGUCGAACGCAGUGGGGACGGGUGAUUAACACGUGGGUAACCUCCCAUCACAGGGGAUAACACUUGGAAACAUGCGCUAAACCGAUACUGCUGGGUGGACCUACGGUGCAGUAGCUUGUUGGGGGGGUAACGGCCCACCAAGGCCACGAUGCGUAGCCGGCCUGAGAGGUUGAUCGGCAAAACGGGAACUGAGAAACGGCCAAGACUCCUACGGGAGGCAGCAGUGGGGAAUCUGCGGCAAGGGACGAAAGUCGGACCGAGCAACGCCGCGUGAGUGAAGAAGGUUUUCGGAUGGUAAACCUCUGUUGUCAGGGAAGCGGUAUCUAACCAGAAAGCCACGGCUAACUACGUGCCAGCAGCCGCGGUAAUUC
rnacentral:rRNA from 1 species